rnacentral:rRNA from 1 species
AGCGAACGCUGGCGGCAGGCCUAACACAUGCAAGUCGAACGGAUCCUUCGGGAUUAGUGGCGGACGGGUGAGUAACACGUGGGAACGUGCCCUUUGGUUCGGAACAACUCAGGGAAACUUGAGCUAAUACCGGGUGUGCCCUUCGGGGGAAAGAUUUAUCGCCAUUGGUGCGGCCCGCGUCUGAUUAGCUAGUUGGUGAGGUAACGGCCCACCAAGGCGACGAUCAGUAGCUGGUCUGAGAGGAUGAUCAGCCACACUGGGACUGAGACACGGCCCAGACUCCUACGGGAGGCAGCAGUGGGGAAUCUUGCGCAAUGGGCGAAAGCCUGACGCAGCCAUGCCGCGUGAAUGAUGAAGGUCUUAGGAUUGUAAAAUUCUUUCAGCGGGGACGAUAAUGACGGUACCCGCAGAAGAAGCUCCGGCUAACUUCGUG